AUGUUCAGCCAGGCUGUUCAUGCUCACUGUUGCUUCAUUCUCCAUGAUAUAUACUCACCAUAUGCUGCCUACCUAAUCUGCAUUGACGGAUUUCCGGAUUGCCGCCAACUUCCUGUCACCACAAACAACACUAUAAUGAACAUCUUCAAAGACAUCUCCUUAUGGAUCUGGGCUGGGAAGAGCCAAUGGAAGCCAAAGGGGAGAGAAAGGACAGAGGAAGAUUUCCAGAGAUAUAGAGAACAACUCCUCAGUGAGCCAGCUUGGAGAGGACAAGUGGAGGGAGGCAUGCCUUCACCCUGUCGUUAGCAGAUGUUACCACCAACUCACUGUGGUACCAGAGCCAGCGGUGGCUGACUGAGGAACAUUUUCCAUCCCAGAUCCUUUAUUGUGAAAAAGAAUAAAGUAUAAAAUGGAUGGCACCAGAUUGUGUCCAUGAUUUAUCAUUCUAAUCUUGUCACCAAGAAUUGAAGAGGCCUAGUCAGUGAGGCUAGGGCAAAAGAAAAGGCAAAAAAUAUAUAUAUUUCACAUGAAUCAGUUAUUUCAGAUCAAUCUGGGAAGUUUCUUUAGCACAUAAAAAAAUGUCUAAAAGAAAGAAUAAUAAUCUAGUAGUUGCUCACAGCAAACUUUCAAGGGUAAAGAAUUUAAUUUACUCAGGAUGUACAACAGCACGGUGUGAGGAUGGAUCAGUAGCUCAACAACUUAAUGGGGACAGAAUUCCUGGGAUGGCAGGGUUUCUCCGAAGGUCACUUGACCCAUUACUCAGACUCUAAGAAGAGCUGUUGUCAGGCCAAACAUGGCCAUGCUCUGUUCUUACGACUGUGACUUGUUCCUGCAAUUCGUAGUAUUUGGAAGCAGUAUCCUUUGAGAAUUAGAACUUAGGACAAAUUUUCUUUUACCUCUUUCUUCUUCUCAGGCUCUUUCCUUUUCUUUCCUGCUUCAGGACUUUUGUUCUUGAUGUCCUUGUGCCUAGAAUGCUCCUGCAUCAGCUCUUCACCUGGCUGAUUUCCCUUCACCCUUCUGGUCUUGGAUUAAAUAUCAUCUCCUCCGACAGGCCUUCUCUUAUGGCCUCAUCUGAAGUAAAGACAAUUCUCUAUAAAGUUCUAUCCCAUUACUCUAUUUGUUUGCAUAAUAGCAAUUAAUACAUUAACAAAUUUUAAUAAUUAUCAGAUUAUCAAAGAGGAACUCAAAAGGGAAAUUUUGAACUAAAUGAAAAUAAAAAUGUGUGGUAUGGCACUAAAGUAGUACUUUGGAAAAAAUAUAUUGCAAAAUGCUUACAUUAGAAAAAGAUAAAAGUCUCAAAUCAAUUACUUCAGCUCCUAAGAAAAUGAAAAAAGAAGAGUAAAUUAAACCCAAAGUAAACAAAAAAAAUGAUAAAUAUCAAAACAAUAUAAAAGAGUGAAAUAAUAUAAAAGAUAUAUAAAAUAUAUAAAUAUUUAAGGAGUAAAAUGACAUAUGAGUAAAAUAAUAUAAAAAAUUAAUGAAACAAUAAAAUAAUAAUUGUUUCUUUAAAAAUAUCAAAAAAUUGGAUCAGCUUCUAAUCAGAAUGAUCAGAAAAAAAUCAAAGAGAGAGAAAGGACACAAAUUGCCAACAGCAGGAAUGAGAGGUGGUGUCACUACAGAUUCUACCAUGUGAAAAGGACAGCAGGAAAAUAUUAUGUAUCAGUUUCUGACAAUAAAUUGACAACCUAAGUGACAGGGGCAAUGUUUCUGAAAGACACUGUGUUAGUCUGUUCUUUGUGUUGCUAUAUAAAGAAAUCUCUGAAACUAGGUAAUUUAUAAAGGAAAGAGGUUUCAUUGGCUGACAGUCCUGCAGGCUGUACAAGCAUGGCACCAGCAUUUGCUCCGCUUCUGGGUAGUCUCAGGGAGCUUUUAUCAGGGCAAAAGGCAAAGCAGCAGCAAGCACAUUAUAUGGUGAAGGUAGAACAAGGCAGAGAGUGUGUGUGGGUGGGGAGAGGUGCCAGACACUUUUAAACAACCAGAUCUCAGGAGAACUCGCUAUUGUGUAGACAGCACCAACCCAUGAGGGAUUCACCGCCAUUACCCAAACCCUUCCCACCAAGACCCACCUCCAACAAUGAGGAUUAUAUUUCAACAUGAGAUUUCAUAGGAACAUAUAUUUAAACCAUAUCAGGCGCAAACUAUCAAAGCUCACUCAAGAAGAAAUAGGUAACAUUAGUACAAGUAGCUUUAUAUCUAGUAAAAAAACAUUAAAUUUGUAGUUAAAAAUCUUCCCACAAAGAAAACUUCAGGCUUAGAUGUCUUCAUUGGUGAAUUGCAUUUUAGAAAGAAAUAAUGCCAAUUCUGCAUAAACAAU
rnacentral:lncRNA from 1 species